CUCCUUUGACGUUAGCGGCGGACGGGUGAGUAACACGUGGGUAACCUACCUAUAAGACUGGGAUAACUUCGGGAAACCGGAGCUAAUACCGGAUAAUAUUUCGAACCGCAUGGUUCGAUAGUGAAAGGUGGUUUUGCUAUCACUUAUAGAUGGACCCGCGCCGUAUUAGCUAGUUGGUAAGGUAACGGCUUACCAAGGCGACGAUACGUAGCCGACCUGAGAGGGUGAUCGGCCACACUGGAACUGAGACACGGUCCAGACUCCUCGGGAGGCAGCAGNG
rnacentral:rRNA from 1 species